UGGAGUGACUAGUGUGGUGGGUGUGGGAAAAGGCGAAGGUGGCAGGCCGGUGGACCGGGGCCUAACGCUUGGUUAGCGCCUGGGACCUCAGGGACAGGGCGGGGCAGCGCUGUGCUGGCAUCUGGCAGCGGCCCCGAUGGUCUCGCUUCGGGCGCUAGAGAGGCUGCUCGCCCUAGGACUCUGAGCCCCCCUUUUUGUUUCUAAGUCCGCACUUGGACUGGAGGGAGGAAAAGAUGGACAAGGUCGUGGGUACAGACCUGGAAACUGUGACCUUGAGCGAAUGGCUUCGUUUGCCUGAGCUUCCUUCUUUGUAAAAUGAAGGGUUUGAAUUAGAUGAUAGAAAGCUUGCCAGUGCAGUGUGAUGGAAGGAAAUGAGGCACUGGAUGAGCUGAUGAAAUGUCCAUUUUGGGCGGGUUGGUGAAUCGACAGACUGCAGCACCCGGAUUCUCUGCCCAGGAUCCUAAGUUUUUAUUGGGCUCCCUCCCUGCUUAAAAAAGUACAUAGUCCGUUACUCGCCCUGCCUAUCCCAAGAAGAGUAAGAGAAACAGCGAAUCUUUUUCAGCCUCAGGUGAGAAGAGGAAUGACCUCCCUCUGACUACAUCUUCCAUCUGACGCUACACAGGCUUGCUAUCCAGUCUUGCUAUCCAGUCUCAGAUUCCUAGGUGCUAUCCAUCUGCACCAGCACAAGUGGGAGAAGAAUCUGUGUGUGACUGUAUUGGAAGUUUCUUCAUCUGUGCUGUGUCCCUGAUGGUAUUGCUUCUAGUCAUCUGCAACAUGUGACUCACAGUGAACUGCAGAUAUUUGGAAUUACCCCAGAUCUUUGAGAUCUGAGACUUGGUCCCUCUGAAGGGAGUAGGAAAAGUUUGAGAUUUCUUGCAUUUGUUCUCCAACCUUUUUCUUUUUCUCUAUGGUAACUUUUUUUUUGGGGGGGUAGGGGGGAUAGGGAUAGGUAUUA